AGUGAACGCUGGCGGCAGGCCUAACACAUGCAAGUCGAGCGGAGCGGCGGACGGGUGAGUAAUGCCUAGGAAUCUGCCUGGUAGUGGGGGAUAACGUCCGUAAACGGGCGCUAAUUCCGCAUACUAUCAGAUGAGCCUAGGUUGGAUUAGCUAGUUGGUGGGGUAAAGGCCUACAAAGGCGACGAUCCGUAACUGGUCUGUGAGGAUGAUCAGUACAACUGAAACUGAGACCCGGUCCAGACUCAUACGUGAGGCAGCAGUGGGGAAUAUUGGACACUGGGAGAAAGCCUGGUCCAGCCAUGCCGCGUGGGUGAAGAAGGUCUUCGGAGUGUAAAGCACUUUAAGUUGGGAGGCGUUACCAACAGAAUAAGCACCGGCUAACUUCGUGCCAGCAGCCGCGGUAAUAC
rnacentral:rRNA from 1 species